CAGGGAGGCCCGGGAGGAGGAAGUGCGCGCGGGGCCCGGCGGCGGGAGGGGGCGGGGAACGAGCCCAGCGGGCAGGCGGCGGCGGCGCCCCUCGCUCCUCGGCCGCACACUUCGGGGUCACCAGCGCAGGCGCCGCCCCCUCACAGCCCGGCCAUCUUUUCAGCACGGCACGGAACGACUCCUCCAAGCGCGGCCGCCGCCGCCGGCCCCAGCCGCGGCUUAGGCUCGCUCACCCCGCCAGGCCGCCGCCGCCCAGCGCGCAAGACGAGGCCCGCUGCAGGCCACUCCCUCGGGCCUGGCCGCCCUCGCCCUGACUUCAGCCGCCGCUCUAGCUCGGUGGGGCCGGGGCUGCUCCGGCCGCGGUGAAUGGUGCGGCGCCUCAGGCCAGGCCGGUAACGACGACCGUUACCCCAACGGGCAAAGACACUGUCAUCCCCGAGACUCCCCCGCCGCCGUCGUCGCUAGCCCUCUGUACGCAUGCGCAGAGCGCGCUCUCACCCCUCCCCCCGCCCUUCCUUUCCCUCCGCUUCCCUUUUCCCCUGCUUCUCCUCUAAAAGCCCCCUCCACGCCCUCCCGGAGCUACCGGCUCGCCCGGCGCAUGCGCAACGCCCCCCCCCCCCAGCCGACCCUACCGCCUUUCGCCCUUACGCGUGCGCUUUGACCGCCCACCCAGAAAACCGGAUAAACACAUUAGCCCGCUCGCGCCGGCCCCGCCCUGCCCCGCCGCCUGCCCAGCCUGAGCUCACUGCGCAUGCCCGGCUCUCCACUUACGGCUCCCGGGCCGGAGCAUGCGCAGUGCGAGCCGCACGCUCCCCGCCCCUCCCCCGCGUGUUCUCAAAUUCCCUCUCCUAGGGGUGGGUGGGUGGAUGUGUGUGUGUGUGUGUGUGUGUGUGUGUGUGUGUGUUGCGGCGACGCUGGUGAGCGGGCACGGCGUUCCCUCGCGUGGGCCGCCCGCGUCGCGCCGCGUGGCGGUGGGGCCGGCGCGGCCUCCGCGCGUCUCCACGGCCGCGGUGGAAGGAAGCGGCCCCGGAACGGCCGCCAGCCCCGCCUCGCCGCCUCCCCGAAACCGAGCGCGUGGCCCACGGGGGCCUAGGCGCUGGCCUGCAAGUUUCAAAGCCACUCCUCUAGGUCCCCCGCGAGCCUGCCCUCCCUUGUGCGUGGACACAGCUCCUGAUGUGCGAGUCUGAAAGAAUCCGGAUCCUCCGUUGUGCUGCAUUAAGAAAAAAAAAAAAAAGCUUUUGCCUUUUUUGCAGAAGGCUGAGGACACUGGGAUAUAAAUAAAAGCCUAACUGACGACUCUGAGGUCUUCUCCCGCAGCACACUGGUCGCCCUCCUCCAGAGGAGAAACUUGAAGGGUAAACUCACGAGCACUGCUCACAUCCAGGCGGUACCGCAUAAAUGAGCAGUCACCCGAGGUUUUUCUCAAAUUCUGGAUCCUCUUGCUUCUGGCCCUGAAUAUUGCUGUUACAGACGUGCAGAGACUCAAGGGUCACCACUCUAACAGCCUACUGAUGGGGUUAUAAAUCAGUAGAAUAUUUCCUAAAGUCAAGUGGCAAUAUUCAAAGCUUUGAUGGAAAAGCCUCCGAAUCAACAGUUCUACUGCUACUCAUUUAUUACAUAUUAGACACUCCUAAUGAUUCUUGUCUCACGGCAAACUUACCUUACAUGUUUAGUUCUAUUUUAGUAAUGGCUGACCUCAAAAUCACUCUGUCGCUGAGGAUGACCUUUACAUCCAUCCUCCACUUCCCAAGGGCUAGGAUUACAGACAGGCAGGUGCCUCUAUUACCUGACUAAUUCCUGACAAUUUUUUAGUCUUCAUGUAUUUUCACAGUAUUCUUUUUUGGUUAUUUAUUUUUUAAAAGUUGGAAAGUAAACCUUGUGUUUUCCUAUGAGUUUAUGUCAUUGUAAUUAUUUCUGUGUCGUUGGGUUUUUUUGUUUUGUUUUGUUUUUAAAGACUAAUAGACCCAAUCCAAGCCAGAUACGGUGACACACGCCUGUAAUCCCAGCACUCUGGGAAGCAGAGGCAAGAGCAUCUUUGUGAGUUCAAGGUCAGCCUGCUCUACAAAUUUGAGCUGUGAGCGCUCAGCUGCUGCUUCUGCCACCUGAUGCCUCUACCCUGUCAUCAAGGCCCCUCUAAGCCUAGAACAGUGAGCCCAAAUAACCUCCUUUAUAAGUUACCUUGAUUGUGAUUAACAACAACACAGCAACAACAAAAAAGUAACUAAUACAGCUGAGCGAUGUGUCAUACACCUAUAGUUCCAGCGUUUGAAAAGCUGAAACAGCUGGAUGUGAUGGCAUACACCUUAAAUCAGGAAGCUGAGACAGGCGUAUCGAUCCAUGUGAGUUCCAGGCCAGCCUGGUCUACAAAGUGAGUCCAGGACAGCCAAGGAUGCACAGAGAAACCCUGUCUCAAAAAAAGAAAGAACGAAAGAAAAGAGAGAAAAAGAAAAGCUGAGGCAGAACGAUCACUGUGGCCAGGCAUUCAAGACAAAUCUGGACAAUAGAGUAAACACGUGUCUCAAAACAAGCUAAUGAAGAUGUCACUGUAUUUUUUUGUUUCCUUUUUUAUUGUUUUUAAUUAUGUGCAUGUAUGUGUAUGGUUGUGCGUAUGUGAGUGCAGGUGCUCACACAAGCCCGAGGUCUGGCCUCCGAUCUCCUUGGAGCUGGAGUUAUAGACACUGCUGCGCUGCCUGAUGUGGACCCUGAGGGCUGAAGUCAGGUCCUGUACAAGAGCAAAGCAUGCUCCUGGCCGA